rfam:Salmo salar isolate Sally breed double haploid chromosome ssa19, whole genome shotgun sequence.
AAUGCACCAAUUUGUAAGUCGCUCUGGAUAAGAGCAUCUGCUAAAUGAUGUAAA